rnacentral:misc_RNA from 1 species
AAAAAAAAGAAAAAAUUUAUAAUUAAAAAUGAAAAAAAUCUAAAAAGAAGUGACCGCAAUGCUGGCACCGGCACUGUAACAAAUGAUUCAGCACCACUGACUUAUGACUCUCGGUAAACCAACAAUAGGUCUACAAUUUUCAGGCGGUUUGAACACGUGUUAGCCUCUACUUCGUGAUAAGACCGGGAAAAUAGGCAUUUAGGCGGGAAA